rnacentral:rRNA from 1 species
GGAGGAAAGCAGGGGAUCGAAAGACCUUAUGCUUUUGGAGCGGCCGAUGUCUGAUUAGCUAGUUGGUAAGGUAAUGGCUUACCAAGGCGACGAUCAGUAGUUGGUCUGAGAGGACGGCCAGCCACACUGGGACUGAGACACGGCCCAGACUCCUACGGGAGGCAGCAGUGGGGAAUUUUGGACAAUGGGCGCAAGCCUGAUCCAGCAAUGCCGCGUGAGUGAAGAAGGCCUUCGGGUUGUAAAGCUCUUUCAGUCGAGAAGAAAAAGUUGUGACUAAUAAUUUCAACUUAUGACGGUAUCGACAGAAGAAGCACCGGCUAACUACGUGCCAGCAGCCGCGGUAAUACGUAGGGUGCGAGCGUUAAUCGGAAUUACUGGGCGUAAAGGGUGCGCAGGCGGUUCUGUAAGUCAGAUGUGAAAUCCCCGGGCUUAACCUGGGAACUGCGUUUGAAACUACAAAGCUA